rnacentral:rRNA from 1 species
GAUGAACGCUGGCGGCGUGCCUAAUACAUGCAAGUCGAGCGAACAGAUAAGGAGCUUGCUCCUUUGACGUUAGCGGCGGACGGGUGAGUAACACGUGGAUAACCUACCUAUAAGACUGGGAUAACUUCGGGAAACCGGAGCUAAUACCGGAUAACAUAUUGAACCGCAUGGUUCAAUAGUGAAAGGCGGCUUUGCUGUCUCUUAUAGCUGGUUCCGGGCCGGGUUAGCUAGUUGUUAAGGUAACGGCUUUCCAAGGCAACGAUACGUGGCCGACCGGAGAGGGUGAUCGGCCACACUGGAACUGAGACACGGUCCAGACUCCUAAGGGAGGCAGCAGUAGGGAAUCGUCCGCAAUGGGCGAAAGCCUGACGGAGCAACGCCGCGUGAGUGAUGAAGGUCUUCGGAUCGUAAAACUCUGUUAUCAGGGAAGAACAAAUGUGUAAGUAACUGUGCACAUCUUGACGGUACCGGAUCAGAAAGCCACGGCUAACUACGUG